UACGGAGGGUGCAAGCGUUAUCCGGAUUCACUGGGUUUAAAGGGUGCGUAGGCGGGUUGGUAAGUCCGUGGUGAAAUCUCCAAGCUUAACUUAGAAACUGCCGUGGAUACUAUCAAUCUUGAAUAUCGUGGAGGUAAGCGGAAUAUGUCAUGUAGCGGUGGAAUGCUUAGAUAUGACAUAGAACACCAAUUGCGUAGGCAGCUUACUACACGAUCAUUGACGCUGAGGCACGAAAGCGUGGGGGGCAAACAGG
rnacentral:misc_RNA from 1 species